UACGAAGGGGGCUAGCGUUGCUCGGAAUCACUGGGCGUAAAGCGCACGUAGGCGGCUUGUUAAGUCAGGGGUGAAAUCCUGGAGCUCAACUCCAGAACUGCCUUUGAUACUGAAGAUCUUGAGUUCGGGAGAGGUGAGUGGAACUGCGAGUGUAGAGGUGAAAAUUCGUAGAUAUUCGCAAGAACACCAGUGGCGAAGGCGGCUCACUGGCCCGAUACUGACGCUGAGGCACGAAAGCGUGGGGAAGCAAACAGGG
rnacentral:rRNA from 1 species